GCAGGUCUUCUGUGCCAGAACCUACAACAUAUUUUGGCUACAUGGUGUAACGUAAAAACGAUACGAAUCCUCGCUUUUUCCACCCUCUUGGACCCUCGUUUCAAAACAUUGGCGUUUGGCAAUCCAAGCCAUGCUCAGGAGGCUGUGACUAAACUGACGGCAGAAUGUGCAAGCACAAUAAGGGGGGUGAAAUGCUGAGCCAUCAACAUCGCAGGUAAUCUUUCAUUUAUUAGAGUGUUAUCUUUUUCCUUACAUACAUAAAUAAUCAAAUCUAAUGAUGUUUUUCAGUCAGCAGCAAUUUUAGACCCUGAUCCUGAGGCAGGAGCUGCAGACAACUUAUGGGAACUGUUGGACAGCAGAGUUGGUUAGUUUAUUGACAUAAGCAUAAUUUUCUCAUGGAAAAAAACUGAAAUGUGUUUCGUUUUAGGAGCAACAAAUACCAAAUCCAACGGCAAAUGCAACCGUGGAAGUUCAGAGGUACCUGUCUGAGCCGUACCUCUUCAGAGGAGAAGACCCGCUCAACAACGUCUCUACUACUUUUCAGUUUGACCAAGCAAUAUCUCCACAUGCCAGCAACAUCUGUGCCGUGCGAGUGGUGGCAAGCCGAAGGAGGAGCAGAUUAAAACCCUGUACUUUGGAAACCAUUCUUUUUCUUAAUAAAAAUCUUUGACGUCACAAAUGAGACGCUCGUCAAUGUAGAAAAAACAAAGCACUCACGCAGUAAUCGUAACAUUUCACUAUCACACAUUUUUGACAUAUCAAGGCUACCUGAUAUAAAUUUAUCUACAAAGAAACACAAUUACGCUUUGACAAAUAUUUUUUUGUUUGACAAUAAAACAGGGACUGUCUGUGAGGAUUUGAGGUCUGUCUUUCUAACUGUAUCAAAUGUUUUAAGCAGCGUGUCAAUUUCAACCCAGCUGUGUCAAAGUUGCUCUGUGAUUCACAAGGCUUUGAUUUCACCAUCCUAAGCAGAGGUCAAAAUCAAGCUCAGGUUGUUAGCAUUUGGUAAAAGCAAAGUUACAAGAGGGCAAGGUGAACAAAAACAAGAUCAAAAGGUCUGGAUAAAUGGAGUAAACACUGGAAAGAGGUGCGUACACUCAACAAUCUGGCAACUGGUUGGUGUGACUACUGGUGUUUAAAUGUCUAGAUUACUAAUUACAGACAGCUGGUGGACCAUGUGACAGGAUAAUCAAGAAGGAGUAAAUAAAGCAAACUAGCCUGGAAGUGACUACAAAAUAAAAGAGGAAGUGGCAAGAAAUUGAGUUCAUGACACUGAUAAUGGCCAUUAAAUGGCGUGAUAAUAUCUGGAGCGGAGGGAACCAUGGACCGGUAUCUGUCCGCGGCCCAGGGGUUGGGGAUCAGUGCUAUAACAGGUCGUCUAACAAGGCUUUCAAUGUUUUUGCUCAUAUUUUUAUAUCCUCUGAUCUAAUUGCACAACAUGCCUUGUAAGGUCAUAGGCCUUCUCAGUUUUUUUUUUUUGCAUUCCGCUUAUGGGCCUGGCUCCUCCUCUGUCCUGAGCUACUGUUGGAUGACAGCUGCUGUCCACUGGCUUGGUCGCGUCUGAGUCUCGGUUCCUUUCCCCAGGCUCCACCUCCAUACCUCCCUGGCAUUGGUGUGGCUCUAGAACCUGGUCUUCUCCCUCCUCAGCCACACCUGGUCUUCUCCAUGGGCAACCUGUGGUCUUCACUGAUUGGACUGGCGUGGCAGCCUCCACCACUCAGGCGCUAGGACUGCCCAUGCACGGAGGACAUUUAAGGGCAGCUCCCAGACGCGCAGCUGGCUAGAUUCUUAUUUGAACUAGAUGGUUGCUUGAAUUGCUUGCUUGCUGUCAGUUAUGACAUCUUUGUGGGUUAAUGUGGUUGUGAAAUCAGGGGUUACAAUCUGAAAUUGCUUGUUCUUGAAGUUGAUGGUUGGGAACUAGGCAGACCUUGUUGUGUUUUUGUCAUUUUAUUUUGUUAGUAAUAUACUGUUCGGGUCUAUGUUGUGUUUCUGACCUCAACUUUCAUUUUUGCUUUUGAGCCAUUCUGUUUUUAUUUUUUUUCCUCUGGUUUGGUUUUACCUGUUGUGGCAAUAAACAGCAAUUGGCCUUCAGGGGCCCGUUCAAGAAGGAGGUUUUGUGGAAACUGAGUUUGUUAACCCCGAAAUAAGGAAAACUGAAUUUUCGGUUUCAGAAAGCGAGGUUACUUAAAUGCGUAAAGCGGGGUAAGUUUAAACCCGUUUCAAGAAGCGAGGUAAUUGAAACUCUGCAACUUACUGUGAACCAAACCGGGUCGCAAGCAGUUUUUAUUCAGGAAACCCAGAGUUUCCUUCAGUCUCUGCCCCUUUUUAAAGUGAACAGUGUUAAAAUGCCUAAUUUAAUCUUUCAGUACAUUCAUAGAUUUCACCUGUUUCCUUUGCGCAUAGACCAGAAUGGCGUGUCCGUUUCUAGACGAUCCCGUAGAUGAGGAGGCUGCAUUAAUUCGGAGGGCAUUGGAUUUACGCCACGAGAGGAUUUUGAGGCCACGAGUUAAUUUUCUUUCAUAUCCGCAUGCAUUUAUAUUUGAGCGGUACUGUUUUUCUCUGAACUCCAUAACGUAUGUCAAAAAUCUUAUCCACCCAUUCAUCAGACCCAUCAUGGUCAUGCUCUGACAUCCGAGCAGAUUCUUUGUGUUGCGUUACGUUUUUUUGCAAACGGUAGUUUUCUUUAUAACAUCGGGGAUGCUGAGCACAUUUGUAAAGCCACUGUAUGCAGAGUAAUUAGAAAAGUGUGCCUCGCCCUCAAGCGCUUUCUGCAGAUCUUUGUUGUGUUUCCUGGCCACAAACCCCUCAGAGCAAUCAAAGAGGAGUUUCACAGGAUUGCAGGUAUGUGGUAUUUAAUUCGUUUCAGUUAGGCUAUUGUGAAAAAUGGUGAUCAGUUAAUAACAUCUUGCUGUGACCUCUGGAAAUAAACUAAUAAUUAGAAUCUCCUUCAGGAUUUUCAAAUGUGCUUAGAUGCAUUGAUGGCACACACAUUCCCAUCAAAGCACCUUCUGAAAAUGAAGGGGACUAUGUGAACAGGAGGUCCAUCCACAGUAUAAAUGUGCAGAUCAUAUGUGAUGCUGCACAUAUUAUCACGAACGUGGAGGCCAAGUGACCCGGCUCCUAUGACUCGCGAAUAUAUCGUGAGUCAACCCUAAGCAACAGGCUGCACUGUGGAGAGAUUGACGGCUUGCUGCUGGGAGACAGGGGUUACCCAUGCCAGCCCACACUACUGACCCUUACCCAGAACCUGAAGCAGGCCCCCAGCAGCGCUUUAAUGUGGCCCUGCAGAACAAGAGCCUGGGUGGAAAUGACCAUAGGCCUGUUGAAAGCAUGUCUUCAGUGCCUACGUCACCUCAGGGAAACACCUGAAGCCUGUGGCAUGUGUUGUUUUCCACAAUAUUGCAAUUAUUAGAGGGGAGCAACACCCUGCCCUACAAAUUCAGGACCCUGAGGAAGACUUCAUCCACCCUGCAGAUUACCGGGAUGAAAGGACAGUCAGAUGUCAUAUGCCAUGAUGUCUUCUCGGAUUAAUCACCCACCACCAAUAAAAAGGAACUGAAUCAAUGCAAAUUAUAAUUUAUAUUUUCUUCAUUUCCUACAAAUACAAAGGCUAUAGUUAGAUUUUAUUAUUCUUCCAAUAAUUCAUGAAAUUCACCUGCAACUAAACCCUCACCUUCAGUUUGUGUUUGAGAAUUUCUAUUUCUAUUUUACAGGAUCGGUUUUCUCAAUCUGGCGGUCAAAGUAUAACAUUUGCUUGUUAUCUUUUUGUAUUUUCUUAAGGAGAUGAAGUUUAUACAACGACAGAGGGGAGAUAAUGUCAGUAUACUUAGAGAUCAACUUACAUCAUUUAGGCUACGCAACACAAACAUCAGAAAUCUUGUGAUGUGUAUAACCCAGGGGUGUCAAACUCAAACCAGUCCCUUGCUGGUUUUCCAACUCUCCCUUUUCCAGAGCCUGCUAAUUACCUGGAUCAGGUGUUAAGUCAAUUAACAGCCAACUGACACCUGUUAAAGGUAAUCAGCAGGGAGAGGUGGAAAAAAAGCAGGGACACCGGCCUUCGAGGACCGCAGUUUGGCACCCCUGGUUUAGAGGAAAUAGCUGCCCAUUUUAACAUUGAUUACCCAAGGCAACUAAAAAAAUUGUGACCUCAAGGCGCUGGUAAUAGAUGAUCUACUGGGACGUGGUGUGAUUGUAAUACCUUGGAGUCCUGGGGUGUGUUCCAGAAAGCGGGUUAUGUGACAUACCCAGGUAAAUUUGAGGGUAUGUUAGUGAUUAACCUCAGCUUUCGGUUCCAAAACCGGAGGUAACUUUCAUGGUAUGUAACCAUAGCAACUUAGUCUCUGAACAUAACCUGCUCCGGAACAGGUUAUGUUUCAGGGUAAGUUUGUUUCGGAGGUUAGUGAGAUGGGCACGCCUGUGAACUUGGAGGCGCAGCUUAUACGAGGAUUCUUCCAUCGUGAGAGGGUCAUAAGGCCACAUAUCUGUUUCGUCAUAUACUGAUGAUUAUUUGAAGGAACGUUAUCGUUUCUCUAAAGAAUUAAUUUAUUUAAUGACCCUUUUGGAAACCUUUCAUUUCGACCAUAACAAACCGUGGGUCUGCACUUACCACAGAAAGCAUUCUGUGCGUGGCUCUUUGGUUUUUGCAUCACUUUUUUUUUUGUUUUGUUUGUAUAAUUUGGGCGAUGCAGAGCAUGUGGUAAAGGCUACAGUGUGUCUGGCACUUAAACGGUUCCUGUCCUGCACACCUUUGUACAGUUCCCUGGCCACAAACCUCUGCGUGUCAUUAAAGAUGAAUUCCAGGUUUGUCCUUUCUAUAAUCUGUGACACAUUUUAAUACUUACACCUCGGGCGUACUGCACACACUAUUCGUAUUACUUUCCAUUUCAGAUUCACAUUUUUCAUCGAGGUAUAUUGUAAUUUACACAAGUUCAUGUUUUUACUGUAUUUUAUUGUUUUACACAUUUCAAUCAUUACAGGACACUAAAAUGACUACUUGCUGGGGGACAGAGGGUUCCCUAUUUGAUGACACCCUACCUUGAACCUACUCUGUCCCUGAAUUUAUUAAAUGUAUUUAUUAAAACAUGUUUAAUUCAUAGAUCCUGUAAUUGUGUAAUUGAAUCUUAUCUUUUUUGUAGGAUGUUUAUUUCAUUUCAGUUAUUCUUGCUCCAGAAGAAUUACAACUCAUUAAACAAGAAUAUUACUAUUAUCCAUUGUCAUUGUAAUCUUAUGAAAAUGAUAGUACAAACGAUGAAGUUAUGUUUACUUUACUAAACGAACUCACACAUUUACUGUCAGUUACUUUUUGCCAAGCCAAAUCCUGUUCCUUCGCUGAUGCAGCUGUAUUACUUUUUCUGAUAAUUAUCGGCCGGAAUUCCUCGUACGCCAGCAUUAAGACCUUUAACUCCGCCUCUGUAAAAUAUGCUGCUUUUUUCCAUGGUGACUUGUGGAUUGGGCGAUCCAUUGACAAUGUCUUUUUAUAUACGCCGUGCACUUGCGUUAACUCUGGGUUAUCGACAUGAGGUACAUUACCAUAACUCUUAUCAGGUGUUUUGGAACCGACAUACUCGGGGUAAGCAGGUCCUGGGUUAAUCAACCAAGAGUUCAGGGUU